UACGUAGGGGCCUAGCGUUGUCCGGAUUUAUUGGGCGUAAAGAGCUCGUAGGCGGCUUGGUUAGUCAGGUGUGAAAUCUCCACGCUCAACGUGGAGGGGCCACCUGAUACUGCCAUGGCUUGAGUCCGGUAGGGGAGUGUGGAAUUCCCGGUGUAGCGGUGAAAUGCGCAGAUAUCGGGAGGAACACCCAUAGCGAAGGCGGCUCACUGGCCCGGUACUGACGCUGAGGUGCGAAAGCGUGGGGAGCAAACAGG
rnacentral:rRNA from 1 species